UAGGGAAUAUUGCACAAUGGGCGAAAGCCUGAUGCAGCAACGCCGCGUGCGCGAUGAAGGCCUUCGGGUUGUAAAGCGCUUUUCUGAGGGACGAGUAAGGACGGUACCUCAGGAAUAAGGUUCGGCUAACUACGUGCCAGCAGCCGCGGUAAAACGUAGGAACCGAGCGUUAUCCGAAUUUACUGGGCGUAAAGCGCGUGUAGGUGGUUUGGAAAGUUAGGUGUGAAAGCUCCCGGCUUAACUGGGAGAGGCCGCUUAAUACUUCCAGACUAGAGGGCGAUAGAGGGGGGUGGAAUUCCCGGUGUAGUGGUGAAAUGCGUAGAUAUCGGGAGGAACACCUGUGGCGAAAGCGGCCCCCUGGAUCGUUCCUGACACUGAGAUGCGAAAGCUAGGGGAGCGAACGG
rnacentral:rRNA from 1 species